UAAGCUUUUAAGUUCCAAGUUUUAGAAAGCCUUUUGUAAUAGCCUUCCCUCUCCCUUAGAAAGACUUUUGUACUCUCUCCCCCUCUUGUAAUCUUGUAACCUUUCUCUUCAGACGGUUUUAUUUUCAAGCUUGUAUCAAAGACAACAGUUUGUUUUCAAGUUUAUCAAAGACUGAAGUUUUUAUUCAAAUUGACUAAGCUAUGAGUCGCAACGCCUCAACAUCAAAUCGUACAAUGCAAAACAAGUUUGGAUCUACUUCAACAAAUGGAUUAUCACAAGUUCUAGCAGAUCAACAACUACAGACAUACACAUACCACUAUGGAGGGAAAUGGGUUGGAAAGAAGAGAGAUUUCCUUAAUAUGCCAAUAUACACGUAUAAGAGUCUUGGAAGCGUCAGGCACAUCAUGGUUGGCAAACCUACAAAACUAAGUACAGAUACCACCACAAUAGAGUUCACCGUAGUAGAACUACCAUGGUCAACCUUAUACGAGAAGAGGUGUGAGUUGGAGGUGUAUUGUCGAUGGCACGGGUUACGAAUUCCUAAGGCACGCUCAGCCGAGUUACCUAGAGAUGAUUCUGCCAACAUACUUGCUCGUCUUGAACAAGAGAAAAAUCAAAUGCAAAGGUGAUUAGACCGUUUUCAUGCAAUCCAAAAAGCUAAGAAGCAUCUAAAGGGGAAGGUGUAAGAGUGAGCCAUCAAGUCUAUUAAUGAAGUUACUGCGUUACAUGAUGAAAAAGAUAUUUCAGACUUCUCAGAUUCAAGCAAUGAUGAUUUCCAAAAAUUUCUACCUACGAAUAUUAGACAUUGUUGUUAAUGUCUACACGUUUUGUGCAAUACAAAAUGUUGUUGUUAAUGUCUAACAUUUGAUGAUUAUGUACAUUCAACUUUUGCAAAUCUAAAAAUUAACUGUUCAUUA